UACGUAGGGUGCAAGCGUUGUCCGGAAUUAUUGGGCGUAAAGAGCUCGUAGGCGGUCUGUCGCGUCUGCUGUGAAAACCUGGGGCUUAACCCCGGGCCUGCAGUGGGUACGGGCAGACUAGAGUGCGGUAGGGGAGACUGGAAUUCCUGGUGUAGCGGUGAAAUGCGCAGAUAUCAGGAGGAACACCGGUGGCGAAGGCGGGUCCACUGGGCCGUAACUGACGCUGAGGAGCGAAAGCAUGGGGAGCAACAG
rnacentral:rRNA from 1 species